UGUCUCAAAAAAAGCCAAAUAAUUUAUUAAUUAAGAAAUUCGGGAGUGGUGGCCCACACCUGUCCUCUGAGCACAUCGGCUGACUGAAACAGGAGGAUCACAAGGUUGAGGCAGCGUGAGGUGUGUAUCAAGAACAUCUCAGCAAACAGAGCAAAGGAGCUGAAUUAAAAUGAGUCCUGUGCAGACAUGUCACUUAACCCUGACCACAGUGGCCAGCACAGAUGGUGACACAUCCUCUGGAAGUGAGCUUGUCUGAAGUGAUGUGACAGUGUGCCCUAUGCCAGCUGUGUUGUGCACAGGUGUGUCGUCUUUGGGAGCACAGAAGCCCUGACCACAGCCGCCAGGGCACUGGAACCCUUUGGGUCUCCUCAGUCACAACGUUUUAUUAGCCCUGUCUAUGUGGAAUUCCCAGCUCUUGUUAUAAGUCAGGGCUUCUGCAGGCCCUACUGUCAGGGACACCGGGGACUUUGUACUUCUUCCUUAGGUAAAUCAGAUGGCGCUCAGGGACUCGCUGGAGCAUAUGUCCAGAGAGAAGGGCCAGGUCACGGCAAUCUGAGAAGUUUGACUUUUUGUGAGUAGCUCCGUGCCUUCUGUCAUUGCUGAGUCCCCGUUACCUGUCUGGCACAGUGCUCUGCUCCCUUUAGAUCUCCUGCUCAUGUCGCUCCCUGUAGAGUUCCUAAUUUGACUUCUGUCAGAAUAGUCCUACUUCUCAAAAAUGCCCCCAAAUGGGUUUUGCAGGUUCAGCUUAAAAUACGUCUUUUUUAUGGGUUUAGGUCUAGAAAUAUCUGUGUAAAAUCUAUGAGUGGCCACCAAGAGCCUUGACUAAAGAUGGGAUAUACAGCUAGUGGGUCCCUUCCCUGCAUUUGGAAGCUUGCAGGAACUUCUUAUUGGACAGAACAAGUCUGCCUGGUAGACAUGUCUUAGAACACUGAUAAAGGACGAUCCUAUUCAGUGGCACAAAGUAUCAUUGUCCAGGAAUCUGUCUCAGCCAUCUUUAUUUCUGCUUCUCUCUGCUUUCCAGGUCUGUCAUCCCCUCUCCAAUAGAAGAAAACUUUAGAAGCUGUAGACAGUUGAACCAGUGGUUCUGUGGUCAGGAAACACUGUUUUUGUGUGCUUUCUCCAAGGAGAACCAAGUUACCAAUAUCCUAGAAUGUGAAAUGUUUGAGUCAUAGUGUGUACAGUUUAGAGAAUCAAUUAAUUUUGAAAGUUUAUAAUAUUUGUAAAUUUUAUCUGUAAAAAGUAUAAACAAUAAAAUCAACCUUUGAUUG
rnacentral:lncRNA from 1 species